UCAGGAACUCCCAGUUUCUGCUGUUCCGUGAAGUCACACACCAACAAAAGGAGGCCAGAACAAGGGACCCAGGGUGGACAGCCAGUCCUUCAGUUCCCUCCAGUUGCAGCCUCCUCACCUUACUGUCUACUGUGCCAGCCUAUACUUCACAAUUCUACAGCUCCAUCUCCAAAAUGUUGAGGCCACCAUGGCCUUGAUUGGAGUUGAAUUGAUGCUGCCUACUGUUUGCCUCCAGGGUCCCAGAGCUUUCUACUGCUGCUCAGUACUUUCCGACUUUAAGGAAUCAUCAGAGUGGUAGAGUAUAUGUGUGGUAGCCAACAGUGAUGGAAAUGGUUUUCAAGGUGUGGGACAGCAAAAAUCCUAUGCCCUGGUAAUGUAGUCAACUUGAAAGUGUUCCCACUUCCAAAUCUAUGAGGGACCCCUGGCCACACUGGGAUGCCUGGAGCAGUUUGUCCUGGCAGUAACAACCUUCAUCCCAUGUUUGGUAUCAUGGGAGAGCUGAGUUCUGGAUUUCAGGUAGGUAAAUCACUUAACCUCUUACACGUAUUUGAUUUUAGUGGAAUUUUUUUGAGCAUUAUUUAGCACAGUGCUGGCUUGCUUGAAGAACCACUUUCUUUUAGCCAAAAUCCUCAGUGGCCAUUUUACUCCUUUGUCAACUGCAACUUUUGCACUAAUGAUGAUGUCAGCCCUCCUUGGCACUGAAUGAAGAAAAUUAUAAUGUUGCUACCUCUUAUGGAUAUUACCUAAUGCAAAAAUAUAGAAACAGCUUUGUAUCUGGAUGAAGAUUCCAUCCAAACAGAAGAGAAAGGAAUGAGUUUUAAAGUUCUUUGAGUAUUGAGGUUUGGGUUUUUUUGUGUGUUUUUUUUUGGGGGGGGGGUUGUAAUUAUUUGCCUCAAGUGGGUAGUAAGAAACCUGGAUAAUGAAAAUAUAACAGAGAAUUUCAAGUUCAAAUAUUUGUUAAGGGUCUACUAAGUGCCCAGUAUGGUUCUAGGUAUUGACAUAAUGAUAGAAUAUGAUGUCUGCCUUAGCCUUCAGAAGCUCAUGGUCUAAUAGGAGAGUACAUUUAGACCUAGGAGCACGAGGGGUAUAUA